rnacentral:lncRNA from 1 species
AUGGAGAAACCAGCAGGGUCCUGCACAGCUCUUAAGCCAUAUCCCUGGUGGGAGGGUUGGAAAAGUGAAACCGAAAGUGAAAGUGAAACUGAAACCGAAAGUGACACUGAAACUAAAAGUGAAAGUGAGACCGAAAGUGAAAGUGAAACCGAAACUGAAACUGAAAGUGAAACCGAAACCGAAACUGAAAGUGAAACCGAAAGUGAAACUGAAACUGAAAGUGAAACCGAAAGUGAAACCAAAACCGAAAGUGAAAGUGAAACCGAAAGGGAAAGUGAAAGUGAAACCGAAACCGAAAGUGAAACUGAAAGUGGAACCGAAACCGAAAGUGAAAGUGAAACCGAAAGUGAAAGUGAAACCGCAACCGAAAGUGAAAGUGAAACCGAAAGUGAAAGUGAAACCGAAAGUGAAACUGAAACCGAAAGUGAAAGUGAAACCGAAAGUGAAACCGAAAGUGAAAGUGAAACUGAAACCGAAAGUGAGAAACCGAAAGUGAAAGUGAAACCGAAAGUGAAACCGAAAGUGAAAGUGAAACUGAAACCGAAAGUGAAACCGAAAUCGAAAGUGAAAGUGAAACCGAAAGUGAAACUGAAAGUGAAAGUGAAACUGAAACAGAAAGUGAAACCGAAAGUGAAACUGAAAGUGAAAGUGAAACUGAAAGUGAAACCGAAAGUGAAAGCGAAAGUGAAAGUGAAACUGAAAGUGAAACCGAAAGUGAAAGUGAAAGUGAAAGUGAAAGUGAAACCGAAAGUGAAACCGAAAGUGAAACUGAAAGUGAAAGUGAAACUGAAACCGAAAGUGAAACCGAAAGUGAAAGUGAAAGUGAAACCGAAAGUGAAAGUGAAACCGAAAGUGAAAGUGAAACCAAAAGUGAAAGUGAAACCGAAAGUGAAACCGAAAGUGAAAGUGAAACCGAAAGUGAAAGUGAAAGUGAAACCGAAAGUGAAACUGAAACCGAAAGUGAAAGUGAAACCGAAACUGAAACCGAAAGUGAAACUGAAACCUAGAACCCUGACCUAG